UACGAAGGGGGCUAGCGUUGCUCGGAAUCACUGGCGUAAAGGGUGCGUAGGCGGGUCUUUAAGUCAGGGGUGAAAUCCUGGAGCUCAACUCCAGAACUGCCUUUGAUACUGAGGAUCUUGAGUUCGGGAGAGGUGAGUGGAACUGCGAGUGUAGAGGUGAAAUUCGUAGAUAUUCGCAAGAACACCAGUGGCGAAGGCGGCUCACUGGCCCGGAUACUGACGCUGAGGCACGAAAGCGUGGG
rnacentral:rRNA from 1 species